CCUACGGGGGGCAGCAGUGGGGAAUAUUGGGCAAUGGGCGCAAGCCUGACCCAGCAACGCCGCGUGAAGGAAGAAGGCUUUCGGGUUGUAAACUUCUUUUAUCAGGGACGAAGCAAGUGACGGUACCUGAUGAAUAAGCCACGGCUAACUACGUGCCAGCAGCCGCGGUAAUACGUAGGUGGCAAGCGUUAUCCGGAUUUACUGGGUGUAAAGGGCGUGUAGGCGGGAGUGCAAGUCAGAUGUGAAAACUAUGGGCUCAACCCAUAGCCUGCAUUUGAAACUGUACUUCUUGAGUGCUGGAGAGGCAAUCGGAAUUCCGUGUGUAGCGGUGAAAUGCGUAGAUAUACGGAGGAACACCAGUGGCGAAGGCGGAUUGCUGGACAGUAACUGACGCUGAGGCGCGAAAGCGUGGGGAGCAAACAGGAUUAGAUA
rnacentral:rRNA from 1 species